GCAGCGAAUCCGCGAGGAGGAGCGAAUCACAAAACUCGGUCCCAGUUCAGAUUGCAGGCUGCAACUCGCCUGCAUGAAGUUGGAAUUGCUAGUAAUCGCGAAUCAGAAUGUCGCGGUGAAUACGUUCCCGGGCCUUGUACACACCGCCCGUCAAACCAUGAGAGUUGGCAACACCCGAAGUCGGUAGUCCAACCGCAAGGAGGACGCCGCCGAAGGUGGGGUUGAUGAUUAGGGUUAAGUCGUAACAAGGUACC
rnacentral:rRNA from 1 species